rnacentral:tRNA from 1 species
GCGCGCUUAGCUCAGUGGUAGAGCAUUGCCUUCACACGGCAAGGGUCGCAGGUUCGAACCCUGCAGCGCGCACCA